UUUUAAAGGAAUUUUUUAUUUCAUCUAAAAUGUCAAAUAUGAUCUCGGAAGCUAAGCAGGGUCAGGCCUGGUUAGUACUUGGAUGGGAGACCACCUAGGAAUACCGGGUGCUGUAGGCA
ensembl:rRNA 5S_rRNA 5S ribosomal RNA